rnacentral:rRNA from 1 species
AGUGAACGCUGGCGGUAGGCCUAACACAUGCAAGUCGAACGGCAGCACAGUAAGAGCUUGCUCUUACGGGUGGCGAGUGGCGGACGGGUGAGGAAUACAUCGGAAUCUACUUUUUCGUGGGGGAUAACGUAGGGAAACUUACGCUAAUACCGCAUACGACCUACGGGUGAAAGCAGGGGAUCUUCGGACCUUGCGCGAUUGAAUGAGCCGAUGUCGGAUUAGCUAGUUGGCGGGGUAAAGGCCCACCAAGGCGACGAUCCGUAGCUGGUCUGAGAGGAUGAUCAGCCACACUAGAACUGAGACACGGUCCAGACUCCUACGGGAGGCAGCAGUGGGGAAUAUUGGACAAUGGGCGCAAGCCUGAUCCAGCCAUACCGCGUGGGUGAAGAAGGCCUUCGGGUUGUAAAGCCCUUUUGUUGGGAAAGAAAAGCAGCAGGUUAAUACCCCGCUGUUCUGACAGUACCCAAAGAAUAAGCACCGGCUAACUUCGUG